rnacentral:rRNA from 1 species
GGGUUGUGAGGUUAAGCGACUAAGCGUACACGGUGGAUGCCCUGGCAGUCAGAGGCGAUGAAGGACGUGCUAAUCUGCGAUAAGCGCCGGUAAGGUGAUAUGAACCGUUAUAACCGGCGAUUUCCGAAUGGGGAAACCCAGUGUGAUUCGUCACACUAUCAUUAACUGAAUCCAUAGGUUAAUGAGGCGAACCGGGGGAACUGAAACAUCUAAGUACCCCGAGGAAAAGAAAUCAACCGAGAUUCCCCCAGUAGCGGCGAGCGAACGGGGAGGAGCCCAGAGCCUGAAUCAGCAUGUGUGUUAGUGGAAGCGUCUGGAAAGGCGCGCGAUACAGGGUGACAGCCCCGUACACAAAAGCGCAUGUGCUGUGAGCUCGAUGAGUAGGGCGGGACACGUGGUAUCCUGUCUGAAUAUGGGGGGACCAUCCUCCAAGGCUAAAUACUCCUGACUGACCGAUAGUGAACCAGUACCGUGAGGGAAAGGCGAAAAGAACCCCGGCGAGGGGAGUGAAAAAGAACCUGAAACCGUGUACGUACAAGCAGUGGGAGCCCCACCACCAAAGCAUUCUCUGGUGUUGAAGGCCCUGCAAAGCAGCAUCGCGGUGGCGGAGCGUCGUUUGCGACGCCCAACACACAAAACAAGCGGUGAAUGCUUUGGGGUGGGGUGACUGCGUACCUUUUGUAUAAUGGGUCAGCGACUUAUAUUCUGUAGCAAGGUUAACCGUAUAGGGGAGCCGGAGG